rnacentral:lncRNA from 1 species
UCAUCUCUUGGACUCGCUUGCUAUUCCCGAAAAGGGGGAAAGGAUUUGGGGGGGACAAUCGCGGAGCCUCUCGCUGGCUUUAGGGAGAGAGGGCUGGGGUAGAGGAGAGCCCCAGGGAGCAGGCAGAGGUGGGUUGGCUAGGGCCUUGUGUGACUUGGGCUGAGAAACUUCACUUAUUCCCUGGCGCUGGCAGUUGUCAAACUGGGUCUUGUAGAUGCUAAGUCUCCAUAGAGGUAUCGUAGGAUAUUCUUUCUGGGAGCCCUGAGCCCAUCUAACCUCCAGUUCGUCCAUCAACUGAUUACUGCUCAGUCACCUCAGAUGAUACCACUGGGAGCCAGAGAACUGCCUAGCUGUGCCCUGCCUGAAUGUCUGACUCAUCACUCAUGGUGGAUGACCUUUUUCCUGAAGAAACUGCUGCAGAAUGAAAGCUCCAGGCGCUUGGGUGCAGCAAGUAGGCUAUGCAUUUCCCACCAGCAGGAAUCUAGCUCCUGGCCAAGGAAAUCAUACGUGAUGUGUAGGGAAGUGUGUGGGGCAGUGGAAGGAAUGUGGACCGUUGCCUCCCUUCGCUUGUCUGGAUGACCUUGGAUGAGGCCUCAAUCCUGGUAGUCACCUGGACUCCUCCUGAAUUUCCCGCAUGUCCUGCAGCAGUGACCCCAUCUGACAUGUUGUGUGGCUGGCUGUCCCCCAGUGAAAUCAUAGCCCUGGAGGGCAGGGUGUGUUUCUUCGUUUUCCUGCCUGGUGUGUGGAGACCCUGUGUGACCGUGGCGCAGAUCAGGAGCUCGAUGUGGAAGCUGGAGAUGUCUGAGGUGAAGUAAUUUGCACAUUGUCCUGAUUGGUAGGUAGCAAGACUUUAACUUGAGCCCACAUCUGCCUGCCCACAAAGCCCUUGUUUGCUCCAGAGACAAUACCUUGUGUUUUCAUGUCUAGCUUGUGAAGGCCUAAUUUUUCUAAGGUUAAAAAUCAUGACUCUGAACAAAUUAACAAGCAAAAGACAACUUCAUUAAAAAGUGGGCAAAGGCUGGGCAUGGUGGCUCACGCCUGUAAUCCCAGCACUUUGGGAGGCCGAAGCAGGCAGAUCAUGAGGUCAGGAGAUCGAGGCCAUCCUGGCCAACAUGGUGAAACGCUGUCUCUACUAAAAAUACAAAAAUUAGCUGGGCGUGGUGGCACGUGACUGUAAUCCCAGCUAUUCGGGAGGCUGAGGCAGGAGAAUCACUUGAACCAGGGAGUCAGAGGUUGCAGUGAGCUGAGAUAGCGCCACUGCACUCCAGCCCAGUGACAGAGUGAGACCCCAUCUCAAAAAAAAAACAAAAAACAAAAAACAAAAAACAAAACAAAAAAAGGGCAAAGCAGGGGAAUCAAGCAAGAGAAAGAAAUAAAGGGCAUCCACAUAGGAAGAGGGGAAGUCAAUCUAUCCCUGUUUGCAGACCACAUGAUACUAUAUCUAGAAAACCUCAUAGUCUCAGCCCAAAACCUUCUUAAGCUGAUAAACAGCUUCAGCAAAGUCUCAGGAUAAAAAAUCAAUGUGCAAAAAUCACUAGCAUUCCUAUACAUCAAAAAUAGUAAAGCCAAAUCAGGAACGUAGUCCCAUUCACAACUGCCACAAAAAGAAUAAAAUACCUAGGAAUACAGCUAACCAGGGAGGUGAAAGAUCUCUACAAGGAGAACUAUAAACCACUGCUCAAAGAAAUCAGAGAUGACACAGACAAAUGGAAAAACAUUCCAUGCUCACGGAUAGGAAGAAUCAAUAUCAUGAAAAUGGCCAUACUGCCCAAGGUAAUUUAUAGAUUCAAUGCUAUUUCUAUUAAACUACCACUGAUCUUCUUCACAACUAGAAAAAAACCAUUUUUAAAAUUCAUAUGGAACCAAUAAAGAGCUCAAAUAGCCAAAGCAAUCCUAAGCAAAAAGAACAAAGCUGGAGGCAUCAUGCUACCUGACUUCAAACUGUACUCCAUGGCUACAGUAACCAAAACAGCAUGAUGCUGGUACAAAAAGAGACACAUAGAUCAGCGGAACAGAAUAAAGAACCUAGAAAUAAGACCACACACCGACAACUAUCUGAUUUUCUACAAAGUUGACAAAAACAAACAAUGGGGAAAUGAUUCCUUAUUCAAUAGAUCGUGUUGGGAUAACUGGCUAGCCAUAUGCAUAAGAUUGAAACUGAAUCCUUUCUUUCUACUGCAAACAAAAACUAACUCAAGGUGGCUUAAAGACUUCAAUGUAAAACUCAAAACUAUAAAAACCCUGGAAGACAACCUAGGCCAUACCAUUUAGGACAUAGGUACAGGCAAAGAUUUCAUGACAAAGAUGCCAAAAGCAAUUGCAACAAAAGCAAAAAUUGACAAACGAGAUCUAAUUAAACUAAAGAGCUUCUGCACAGCAAGAGAAACUAUCAACAGAGUGAACAGACAACCUCCAGAAUAGGAGAAAAUUUUUUGCAAACUAUGCAUAUGUCAAAGGUCUAAUAUCCAGCAUCUACAGGGAACUGAAACAGAUUUAUAAGAAAAAACAAGCAACCUCAUUAAAAAGUGGGCAAAGGGCAUGAACAAGUACUUUUCAAAAGAAGACAUGCAUGUGGCCAACAAUGAUAUGAAAAGAAGCUCAGCAUCACUGAUUAUCAGAGAAAUGCAAAUCAAAACUACAAUAAGAUACCAUCUCCCACCAGUCAGAAUGGCUAUCAUUAAAAAGUCAAAAAAUAACAGAUGCUGACAAGGUUGUGGAGUAGAAGGUAUGUUUCUAUGCUUGUCAGUGGGAGUGUAGGUCAGUUCAACCAUUGUGGAAGACAGUGUAGUGAUUCCUCAAAGACCUAAAGACAGAAAUACCAUUCGGCCCAGCAAUCCCAUUACUGGGUAUAUACCCAAAGGAAUAUAAAUUAUUAUGUUGUAAAGAUACACACAUGCAUACAUUCAUGAAGCACUAUUCACAAUAGCAAAGACAUGGAAUCAACCCAAAUGCCCAUCAAUGAUAGAAUGGAUAAAGAAAAUAUGGUACAUGUACACCAUGGAAUACUAUGCAGCCAUAAAACAGAAUGAGAUCAUGUCCUUUGCAGGGACAUAUCAGAUGGAGCUGGAGGCCAUUAUCCUUAGCAAACUUACACAGGGACAGAAAACCAAACACCGUAUGUUCUCACUUAUAAGUGGGAGCUAAAUGAUGAGAACACAUGAAGGCAUGGAGAGGGGAACAACACACACGGGGGCCUUUCGGAAGAUGGAGGGUGGGAGGAGGGAGAGAAUCAGGAAAAAUGACUAAUGGCUACCAGGCUUAAUGCCUGGGUGAAGAAAUAAUCUGUACACCAAACCUCUGUGACAUACAGCUUGUUUAUAGAACAAACCUGCACGUGUACCCCUGAGAGUAAAAUAAAAGUUAAAAAAAACAUGACUGAUGCAAAUAUAAAACAAACAUAUGUCAAAGAGCUUAUUUAGCUCAUCAGUUAAUGAUGGAGGCAGUAAAAUGUGAAAACCAGUCCAAGGAGCAUUUGAGGAGCUAGGUAUUUAUAUGUAAUUUCAUAAAGAAAUGUUAGGACAGGUUUGCUGGGUUAGAUACAAAACUAGUUAAUGUCCUUCAGGACCAUAAACUAUAACCUUUGUGUAACUAAUUGUCUUUAGUCAGAUAAUCUCAUCCUGGUGAGUGGGUCAUUCUUUCCCUGUAAGAUGGAGUUAGAUUUCUUUUUGUCCAUAUUUUGUGAUGUGAUAUGUAGUUGGACUCUAGUAGGUGGCCUUGUUUCCCUCAUGUCAGAGUUUGGAGACAGCAUGUUGUGCAUGGCCCUUGCCCUCAUGUGGACAACUGAAUGCACCUCCCAGAGAUGUUGGGGGCAUGGUGGUAAGAAACCAGUGUAAAAACCUCAGCACGUGGUGGUGUUUGUUCACUCCCUGAAAUCCUUUUGGAAAAAAGGGCAUAAAUAAGUGAGUGAACGAAAGAUCCACACAUUUUCUUCAAUAAAUGAUGACUGCUUUUAUCAUGAGGCUGCUUGACCCACUCGCCUGGCAGGUCAGCUGUUCUACAUCCAGAGUGGGGUUGGAAAAUAUGUUUCACUUUUUCUCAAAAAUAAAAUAUAAAAUAUAUUAAACAGUAUAAUGAACAUUAUAGCUUCCCUGAUAUACUGACUUGUUCCCAUCCUCAGGGACACCU